GACGAACGCUGGCGGCGUGCCUAAUACAUGCAAGUCGAGCGGGCAGCACGAUGUAGCAAUACAUUGGUGGCGACCGGCGGACGGGUGCGUAACACGUAUGCAACUUGCCCUAUACUGGGAGAUAGCCCGAAGAAAUUCGGAUUAAUAUCCCAUAACAUCAGGAUAAGCAUUUAUCUUGGUUCAAAACUCCGGUGGUAUAGGAUAGGCAUGCGGUCGAUUAGCUUGUUGGUGAGGUAAUGGCUCACCAAGGCAACGAUCGAUAGGGGGCCUGAGAGGGUGAUCCCCCACACUGGUACUGAGAUACGGACCAGACUCCUACGGGAGGCAGCAGUAAGGAAUAUUGGUCAAUGGGCGAAAGCCUGAACCAGCCACGCCGCGUGAAGGAAGAAGGCCCUACGGGUUGUAAACUUCUUUUCUAUGGGAAUAAACCUCAGGACGUGUCCUGAGCUGAAGGUACCGUAGGAAUAAGCAUCGGCUAACUCCGUGCCAGCCGCCGCAGUAAAAC
rnacentral:rRNA from 1 species